UACGAAGGGGGCUAGCGUUGUUCGGAAUUACUGGGCGUAAAGCGCACGUAGGCGGAUAUUUAAGUCAGGGGUGAAAUCCCAGAGCUCAACUCUGGAACUGCCUUUGAUACUGGGUAUCUCGAGUAUGGAAGAGGUGAGUGGAAUUCCGAGUGUAGAGGUGAAAUUACGUAGAUAUUCGGAGGAACACAGUGGCGAAGGCGGCUCAUGGCCCGGUACUGACGCUGAGGCGCGAAAGCGUGGGGAGCAAACAG
rnacentral:rRNA from 1 species